rnacentral:lncRNA from 10 species
UGGAAAUCUAAGUAGAAUUGAGAGAAAACAAAUAAUGACAAAGCCUGGAAAAUGUAGAACAAUUGAAUAAUAUAACUUGAGAAGUGAAAUGUUAAUCUUACUUGUCUGACAAUUUUAUUGUAAAUGAUUCAUGCUCACAUAGCACCUAAGUCCAUUUUUUGUUACUAUAAAAGAAUGCCCAAGGGUGGGUAAUUUACAAAGGAAAGAGGUUUAUUUGGCUCACAGUUCUGCAGACUGUACAAGAAGCAUGGCACUGGCAUCUGCUUCUGGUGAGGGCUUCAGGCUGCUUCCACUCAUGGCAGAAGGGAAAGGGGAGCCAGCUGUGCAGAGAUCACAUGGCUGGAGAGGAAGUAUGAGAGCAGGGAGGUGCUAGACUCUUUUACCAAUCAGCUCUCCAGGGAACUAAUAGAGUGAGAACUCACUCACCCCCAAGGAAGGGCACUAACCUGCUCAUGCAGGAUCUGCCUCCAUGACCCAAACAUCUCCCACUAGGCUUUGCAUCCCAACACCACCACAUUGUGGAUUAGAUUUCAACAUGAGAUUUGUUGGGUGCAAACAUACAAACCAUAGCACAUAGGUAAAGUAUUAACACAAGAAAAUAUAUUUAGAAGUUGGUGUUUUCACUGUACAGAUUACAAGUUGACAAGAACACAUGUUGUUUUUGCUUGCCCAGUAUUCAUUCUCCCUCUUCAGUUGACAGCACUUUAGACGAAUACAUUCAAGGAACCACCCCUUUUUCACACUCCACAUAGCUUCUCUCUAUGACUAGAUGCUCUCUUGGGGAGAGCAUGUAAUCUGAGACUGGCCAAUCAGUGGAUUCUAACCUCAGGGGCUAUAAUGAUUGAUUCAGUGUUGGGCAAAUGACCCAGGUUAGGCUAGUGAGAUCUUGGAUCUUUUGGUAGGAUCACUGAGAAAAACAAAGUAAUGCUUCCUGAUAUCUUUCAGUCUGUGGAUCCAACUUAUUUGUGAACUUCUAAAUUAGCUGAGCUCCAAUUCUCUUUGUUUAAACCCAGUUUGAGUUGUGUUUCUUUCAAUUGCAAUCAAGAGAGCAUGAUGAUUAUAUGACAGGUCACUUUGGCUGAGGGAAUCAGGGAAAGUUCCAUGGAAGAUGUAACCCUGGGCAAGAUCUUGAAAAAAGCUAGAUAGAAGGAAGCAGGGAUGGAGAGAAAGGCAUUGCUGAUGGUGCAGCUGCAUGAGUCAAGGAAUUGGGGUCAAUCUGAAAAGGAACAUGGUUACAGGGGUCUCUGAAGCUCAGGAUGCAUGAAGGAUUCCAGGUCUCUGGUCUUAGCCACCACAUCCAAACUCCAGUCAGCCCUGUUAACUCCACAGUAUGCCAUGGAAUGGGAUAUACUCCUAAGGAGAAAGAAUGUGCCUUCGAGUGUGGAGACACACAGCCUGGAGCUGGCAUGAACAGAGACAAUGUAAUGGUAAUGGAGACAUAAGCAGAGACCAACCUUCAAAGGUGAGAACCCCACAUCCAUGGUGAGAAAAUUCUGGAUCAAGCAGCAUAGAAACUUCAAGUCUUCCCCGUUAAUAUCUUGGUUGCUCAAGGAGAAUUGUGGAAGAAUAGAUUGUCUGAGAAAGGUCCCCACCGAAGAUGGUGACUUCCUAACAGUGCUGUUAGGAAGCACCAGUAGAUGUCACUGUAGGUGACCACGCCAGUGUAACAGCUGCAGCCAGUGACCAUGACAACGU